ACGAACGCUGGCGGCGUGCUUAGCACAUGCAAGUCGAACGGUGAAGCGCCUUCCUUUUUGGUGGGUGUGGAUGAGUGGCGAACGGGUGAGUAACACGUGAGUAACCUGCCCCCUUCUUCUGGAUAACCGCAUGAAAGUGUGGCUCAUACGGGAUAUUCUGGGUCUGUCGCAUGUUGGGUCUGGGAAAGAUAUUGUUUCGGUGGGGGAUGGGCUCGCGGCCUAUCAGCUUGUUGGUGGGGUGAUGGCCUACCAAGGCGGUGGCGGGUAGCCGGCCUGAGAGGGUGGACGGUCACACUGGGACUGAGACACGGCCCAGACUCCUACGGGAGGCAGCAGUGGGGAAUAUUGCACAAUGGGCGCAAGCCUGAUGCAGCGACGCCGCGUGAGGGAUGGAGGCCUUCGGGUUGUGAACCUCUUUCGCCAGUGAAGCAGGCCUGCCUCGUUUGUGGGUGGGUUGACGGUAGCUGGAUAAGAAGCGCCGGCUAACUACGUG
rnacentral:rRNA from 1 species